rnacentral:ncRNA from 1 species
AGCAUGUCGCACCGUGUUGGUGCCUGUGUAAACAGGUGAAAAGGGAAUGUGCAGCGCAUCGCGCCAGGCACAGCCGCCCCCGCGACCGUGAACCGGGAAGGGUUCCACCGCCACUGGCGCAAUGCCGGGAAGGCCGGAAACCGUGGGCCGACAGGCCCGAAACCGCAAGCCGGGAGACCUGCCAACAAGAACGAACAGAC